GUGUGCUCUUCCGAUCUUUGGUGGAUGCCUUGGCGUCAUAUGGCGAUGAAGGACGCAGCAAGCUGCGAUAAGCCUCGGGGAGCGGCAAACACGCUUUGAUCCGGGGAUUUCCGAAUGGGGAAACCCAAUACCCGUAAUGGGGUAUUACUCCCAGCUGAAUAUAUAGGCUGGGUAGAGCGACACGCGGUGAAGUGAAACAUCUCAGUAACCGCAGGAAAAGAAAGAGAAUCGAUUCCGUAAGUAGCGGCGAGCGAAAGCGGAUCAGCCCAAACCAGAGUGAUUUAUCACGCUGGGGUUGUAGGACUAUAAUGUGAGAAGCAACGGAUAGACGAAUACCUUGGAAAGGGUAACCAUAGAGGGUGACAGUCCCGUAGUUGAAAUCCCGCGCCGAUCUAAUAGUAUCCUGAGUAGCACCGGACACGUGAAACCCGGUGUGAAUCUGCGCCGACCACGGCGUAAGGCUAAAUACAAGAUGACGACCGACAGUGAACUAGUACCGCGAGGGAAAGGUGAAAAGCACCCCUGUUAGGGGAGUGAAAUAGUAACUGAAACCGAUGGCUAACAAAUCAGUAGGAGCCGCCUUGUGCGGUGACUGCCUGCCUUUUGUAUAAUGAGUCUGCGAGUUUAUGUCCGUAGCAAGCCUAAGCUGCUAAGCAGUGGAGGCGUAGCGAAAGCGAGUCUGAAUAGGGCGAUUGAGUUGCUGGCAUAAGACCCGAAGGGGAGGUGAUCUUACCAUGACCAGGUUGAAGCGUUAGUAAAAUAACGUGGAGGACCGAACCGGUGUAGCUUGAGAACUGCUCGGAUGAGUUGUGGUAAGGAGUGAAAGGCUAAUCAAACCCCCUGAUAGCUGGUUCUUUCCGAAAUAUAUUGAGGUAUAGCGUCGAGCGCUGACCUGUGGAGGUAGAGCACUGAAUAAGCUAGGGCCCCUACCGGGGUACUGAACUUUAUCAAACUCCGAAUGCCACAGGGUGAAGCUCGGCAGUCAGACUUAGGGUGCUAACGUCCUAAGUCGAGAGGGCAACAACCCAGACCAUCAGUUAAGGUCCCUAAAUGUGGCUCAGUGGUAAAGGAUGUGAUUUUACUUAGACAAUGGGGAUGUUGGCUUAGAGGCAGCCAUCAUUUAAACAGUGCGUAACAGCUGACCCAUCGAGUGAAAUUGCGCCGAAAAUGAUCGGGACUUAAGCCACAUACCGAAGCUAUGGAUUUCAGUUCCUCGGAACUGGAGUAGUAGGAAAGCGUUCCAAGUGCAGUGAAGGAGAAGGGGCAACCGACUCUGGAGCGCUUGGAAGUGAGAAUGCAGACAUGAGUAACGAUAAAGAUGGUUAAAGUCCAUCUCGCCGUAAGGAUAAGGUUUCCUGGGGAAGGCUCGUCCUCCCAGGGUUAGUCGGGAGCUAAGAUGAGGCCGUAAGGAGUAAUCGAUGCACAGAAGGUUAAUAUUCCUUCACCGGCUUGCAACUAUUCCCAGAGUGCGGAUCGACGGACCCUACAGACCUGUUUUGACAAGGCACUGCAAAGCUACGGCUGCGUGGGUGUAGGGAAAGAAGGUUCCAAGAAAAGCUCUGGAAUUACUAUGCAGGUCGCUCGUACCGCAAACCGACACAGGUAUCCGGGAUGAGUAUUCUAAGGCGCGCGAGUUAAAUCUCUCUAAGGAACUCGGCAAAUUGGCCCCGUAUCUUCGGUAUAAGGGGUGCCCCUCUAGGGGGGUCGCAGUUAAUAGCGUCAACCGACUGUUUAGCAAAAACACAGCUCUCUGCAAAGUCGCAAGACGACGUAUAGGGAGUGACACGUGACCAAUGCGAAAAGGUGAACGCCUGGGGUGCAAGCUCCGGGUCUAAGCCCUCGUGAAUGUCGGCCGUAACUAUAACGGUCCUAAGGUAGCGAAAUUCCUUGUCGGGUAAGUUCCG
rnacentral:rRNA from 1 species